GGCCUCAGCAGCACCUGUUCUCGCAAGGUGUCCUGGACACUCAGCACAACUCAGGUCAGACUAGGAACAGCAGGAGAUCAAUAGCCAUGUGUGAGAAGUGGAUUCUUCACUGGACUGCAC
rnacentral:antisense_RNA from 1 species